CUACGAUACAUGUGAAAGGAUGCUGCAAAACUGUAGGUCCUGCUGAGAUUUCAACUGGUUUGCUUUGAACAUCUCCAUGGGUAUUCAAAGUAUGACGCUUGAGGUUGCCGCGUGUUGAAAAUACUUUGGCACAUAUAUUGCACGGAAAGGACAUGUUCACACCACGAACGUCUAGCUGGAAGUGAUAAUAAGUUGGCGUAUUCGUUCUAUAUAAUCAUUAAUGCAUCUAUCCAGUAUUAUUCUGUGUCUUUAUCUUCCUUAUCUUUAUCCUUAUCUUUAUCUUUAUUUUCUUUAUCUUUAUCUUCUUUAUCUUUAUCCUUAUCUUUAUCUUCCUUAUCUUUAUCCUUAUCUUUAUCUUCCUUAUCUUUAUCUUCCUUAUCUUUAUCUUCUUUAUCCUUAUCUUUAUCUUCUUUAUCUUUAUUCUUAUCAUUAUCUUCCUUAUCCUUAUCUUUAUCUUUAUCCUCUUAUCUUUAUCUUCCUUAUCUUUAUCUUAAUCUUUAUUUUUAUCCUUAUCUUUAUCUUCCUUAUCUUUAUCUUCUUUAUCCUUAUCUUUAUCUUCCUUAUCUUUAUCUUCUUUAUCUUUAUUCUUAUCAUUAUCUUCCUCAUAGGCUGGAUCGAUAUCGCAAAUACCGAAUACCGAUAUACCGCCAUCAGAAUACCGGUAAAUACCGGUAUUCCGGUAUUUUUAACGUGUUUUUUUUUAAGCCAAACUGAAGUGCUGACCGUCAAGAAAAAUCAAGUUUUGACAAAAUAUUAAUGUGGCACAUACUGUUAUUAGUGCAAAUGUCACAAGAUUCGCAUUAUCAAGCGAUGUUAACAAUUAACAGCGCUAAGCGGCAAUUAUUAGUAGGCCGUCGAUUGGGCGUCGAAGUGUUGAAUCAUUCAGAAAAAUAUUCGUUUUCUAUAUAAAUUCAGAUAGUGUUUCAGUAAGUUGCUAAUAGUUAUGAACAUAAAAAAUGUUGCAUUUUUAAAACUAACACAUAAACAAGUUAGCAUGUCAGUUAAAUAAGAUUGAAAACAACAAAAAGUUACCCUCUUAUACUGCCCGAUAAAAAAACAACUUGAAAAGCCAGAAAAGGUUUUCGCUGCUUCGCAAAUGCUAGUACUUCCACUUUCCAAAAUCAAAGUUUUCUUUUUUGUCGAAAUUUUCCUUUAAAAAUUUCACCCUUUUUAUAUUUCCGAUUAAGGC